CAUGCAGUCGAGCGGCAGCGCGGGGCAACCUGGCGGCGAGCGGCGAACGGGUGAGUAAUGCAUCGGAACAUGUCCAUGUCGUGGGGGAUAGCCCGGCGAAAGCCGGAUUAAUACCGCAUACGCCCGAGAGGGGAAAGUGGGGGACCGCAAGGCCUCACGCGAUUGGGUUGGCCGAUGUCCGAUUAGCUAGUUGGCGGGGUAAAGGCCCACCAAGGCGAUGAUCGGUAGCUGGUCUGAGAGGAUGAUCAGCCACUGGGACUGAGACACGGCCCAGACUCCUACGGGAGGCAGCAGUGGGGAAUUUUGGACAAUGGGGGCAACCCUGAUCCAGCCAUUCCGCGUGAGUGAAGAAGGCCUUCGGGUUGUAAAGCUCUUUUGUCCGGAACGAAACGGUUAGGGUGAAUACCCCUGACUACUGACGGUACCGGAAGAAUAAGCACCGGCUAACUACGUGCCAGCAGCCGCGGUAAUACGUAGGGUGCGAGCGUUAAUCGGAAUUACUGGGCGUAAAGCGUGCGCAGGCGGUUUUGUAAGCCAGAUGUGAAAUCCCCGGGCUUAACCUGGGAAUGGCAUUUGGGACUGCAAGGCUUGAGUUUGGCAGAGGAGACUGGAAUUCCUGGUGUAGCAGUGAAAUGCGUAGAUAUCAGGAGGAAUACCGAUGGCGAAGGCAGGUCUCUGGGCUGAAACUGACGCUCAUGCACGAAAGCGUGGGGAGCAAACAGGAUUAGAUACCCUGGUAGUCCACGCCCUAAACGAUGUCGACUGGUUG
rnacentral:rRNA from 1 species